rnacentral:tRNA from 1 species
GCGCCGGUGGUGUAGUGGCGUAGAGCGUUUCCGCCUGGUCAGCAGGAGGUGAGGGUUCGAGUCCCGCCUGACGCU